rnacentral:rRNA from 1 species
UACGUAGGGGGCAAGCGUUGUCCGGAUUUACUGGGCGUAAAGAGCGUGUAGGCGGCCACGCAGGUCCGUUGUGAAAACUGGAGGCUCAACCUCCAGCUGUCGACGGAAACCGUAUGGCUAGAGUCCGGAAGAGGAGAGUGGAAUUCCUGGUGUAGCGGUGAAAUGCGCAGAUAUCAGGAAGAACACCAAUGGCGAAGGCAGCUCUCUGGGACGGUACUGACGCUGAGACGCGAAGCGUGGGAGCGAACAGG